CCCCUAGAUGUUCUGGGCCGCACGCGCGCUACACUGUUCGACGCAGCGAGUCUUAACCUUGACCGAAAGGUUUGGGUAAUCUUCAGCAAAGUCGAACGUGAUGGGGAUCGAUCAUUGCAAUUAUUGAUCGUGAACGAGGAAUUCCUAGUAAGUGCAAGUCAUCAGCUUGCGCUGAUUACGUCCCUGCCCUUUGUACACACCGCCCGUCGCUACUACCGAUUGAAUGGUUUAGUGAGAUCUCUGGAUUGACGCUGGCUAGGGGGCGACCCUUGGCCAGACUGUUGAGAAACUGCUCAAACUUGAUCAUUUAGAGGAAGUAAAAGUCGUAACA
rnacentral:rRNA from 1 species